rnacentral:tRNA from 1 species
AUGUGUCAGAAACAAUGUAGUAAAUUUAAGAUUUAAAUAUGAAAAUAUUCCUUUAGUA